GAAAGCAGCUCUCCAAGUGUAGAUAUGAUCACCAGCUACAAGCUCACUUCUUUCAAUUUUUUGGGAGAGAAAACUCAUCUCAUAAACUCUCUCUAUGAAUCUAUCUGAAUCUGCUAAAAGAUUACAAAACUAGAACAACAACAGAAC